rnacentral:rRNA from 1 species
AACGAACGCUGGCGGCAGGCUUAACACAUGCAAGUCGAGCGCCUCGCAAGGGGAGCGGCAGACGGGUGGGUAACACGUGGGGAUCUGCCCAAUGGUACGGAAUAACUCAGGGAAACUUGUGCUAAUACCGUAUGUGCCCGCAAGGGGAAAGAUUUAUCGCCAUCGGAUGAACCCGCGUCGGAUUAGCUAGUUGGUGUGGUAAAGGCGCACCAAGGCGACGAUCCGUAGCUGGUCUGAGAGGAUGAUCAGCCACACUGGGACUGAGACACGGCCCAGACUCCUACGGGGGGCAGCAGUGGGGAAUAUUGGACAAUGGGCGCAAGCCUGAUCCAGCCAUGCCGCGUGAGUGAUGAAGGCCUUAGGGUUGUAAAGCUCUUUCGCCGACGAAGAUAAUGACGGUAGUCGGAGAAGAAGCCCCGGCUAACUUCGUGCCAGCCGCCGCAGUAA